rnacentral:lncRNA from 1 species
CUCAUUUCUAUACACCCAUGGCUGGAAUUCAGUACAAAUUCUUCCCCACUGAUUUCUUCUUUCCUCCUCAAAAGUUCGCCGGCCGAGACAUUGCUACUCAACAGCAAAUCCCUCUGGUGAAAUCCCGAAAUACCGAUGAAUCAGACGAGCCAAAACAGCCCAAAAUCACCACCAUCAACACCAAAGCGAUUACUUCCUCGACCGCAAGCUUGGUUCCGAUUAAGAAAUCAAAUUAAAUCAAGGUACGGUCUGAUGUACUAGUUAUUUGAUAAAGACUGUUAUAUGUAAAAUUAAAUCUUAUUAUCGAUAAAUCUAGUAUCGAUUUGUUAGAUCAAGUCGUUCAGAGUGUGAUGAGCAUUUGAGGGGUCUAAUUAACUUUUUUAAAGGCUUCUCAAAUAAUAACAUCAAAGAUUGUUGUGUAAU